GGUUAAGCGACUAAGCGUACACGGUGGAUGCCCUGGCAGUCAGAGGCGAUGAAGGACGUGCUAAUCUGCGAUAAGCGUCGGUAAGGUGAUAUGAACCGUUAUAACCGGCGAUUUCCGAAUGGGGAAACCCAGUGUGUUUCGACACACUAUCAUUAACUGAAUCCAUAGGUUAAUGAGGCGAACCGGGGGAACUGAAACAUCUAAGUACCCCGAGGAAAAGAAAUCAACCGAGAUUCCCCCAGUAGCGGCGAGCGAACGGGGAGCAGCCCAGAGCCUGAAUCAGUGUGUGUGUUAGUGGAAGCGUCUGGAAAGGCGCGCGAUACAGGGUGACAGCCCCGUACACAAAAAUGCACAUGCUGUGAGCUCGAUGAGUAGGGCGGGACACGUGGUAUCCUGUCUGAAUAUGGGGGGACCAUCCUCCAAGGCUAAAUACUCCUGACUGACCGAUAGUGAACCAGUACCGUGAGGGAAAGGCGAAAAGAACCCCGGCGAGGGGAGUGAAAAAGAACCUGAAACCGUGUACGUACAAGCAGUGGGAGCACGCUUAGGCGUGUGACUGCGUACCUUUUGUAUAAUGGGUCAGCGACUUAUAUUCUGUAGCAAGGUUAACCGAAUAGGGGAGCCGAAGGGAAACCGAGUCUUAACUGGGCGUUAAGUUGCAGGGUAUAGACCCGAAACCCGGUGAUCUAGCCAUGGGCAGGUUGAAGGUUGGGUAACACUAACUGGAGGACCGAACCGACUAAUGUUGAAAAAUUAGCGGAUGACUUGUGGCUGGGGGUGAAAGGCCAAUCAAACCGGGAGAUAGCUGGUUCUCCCCGAAAGCUAUUUAGGUAGCGCCUCGUGAAUUCAUCUCCGGGGGUAGAGCACUGUUUCGGCAAGGGGGUCAUCCCGACUUACCAACCCGAUGCAAACUGCGAAUACCGGAGAAUGUUAUCACGGGAGACACACGGCGGGUGCUAACGUCCGUCGUGAAGAGGGAAACAACCCAGACCGCCAGCUAAGGUCCCAAAGUCAUGGUUAAGUGGGAAACGAUGUGGGAAGGCCCAGACAGCCAGGAUGUUGGCUUAGAAGCAGCCAUCAUUUAAAGAAAGCGUAAUAGCUCACUGGUCGAGUCGGCCUGCGCGGAAGAUGUAACGGGGCUAAACCAUGCACCGAAGCUGCGGCAGCGACGCUGAUGCGUUGUUGGGUAGGGGAGCGUUCUGUAAGCCUGCGAAGGUGUGCUGUGAGGCAUGCUGGAGGUAUCAGAAGUGCGAAUGCUGACAUAAGUAACGAUAAAGCGGGUGAAAAGCCCGCUCGCCGGAAGACCAAGGGUUCCUGUCCAACGUUAAUCGGGGCAGGGUGAGUCGACCCCUAAGGCGAGGCCGAAAGGCGUAGUCGAUGGGAAACAGGUUAAUAUUCCUGUACUUGGUGUUACUGCGAAGGGGGGACGGAGAAGGCUAUGUUGGCCGGGCGACGGUUGUCCCGGUUUAAGCGUGUAGGCUGGUUUUCCAGGCAAAUCCGGAAAAUCAAGGCUGAGGCGUGAUGACGAGGCACUACGGUGCUGAAGCAACAAAUGCCCUGCUUCCAGGAAAAGCCUCUAAGCAUCAGGUAACAUCAAAUCGUACCCCAAACCGACACAGGUGGUCAGGUAGAGAAUACCAAGGCGCUUGAGAGAACUCGGGUGAAGGAACUAGGCAAAAUGGUGCCGUAACUUCGGGAGAAGGCACGCUGAUAUGUAGGUGAAGUCCCUUGCGGAUGGAGCUGAAAUCAGUCGAAGAUACCAGCUGGCUGCAACUGUUUAUUAAAAACACAGCACUGUGCAAACACGAAAGUGGACGUAUACGGUGUGACGCCUGCCCGGUGCCGGAAGGUUAAUUGAUGGGGUUAGCCGCAAGGCGAAGCUCUUGAUCGAAGCCCCGGUAAACGGCGGCCGUAACUAUAACGGUCCUAAGGUAGCGAAAUUCCUUGUCGGGUAAGUUCCGACCUGCACGAAUGGCGUAAUGAUGGCCAGGCUGUCUCCACCCGAGACUCAGUGAAAUUGAACUCGCUGUGAAGAUGCAGUGUACCCGCGGCAAGACGGAAAGACCCCGUGAACCUUUACUAUAGCUUGACACUGAACAUUGAGCCUUGAUGUGUAGGAUAGGUGGGAGGCUUAGAAGUGUGGACGCCAGUCUGCAUGGAGCCGACCUUGAAAUACCACCCUUUAAUGUUUGAUGUUCUAACGUUGACCCGUAAUCCGGGUUGCGGACAGUGUCUGGUGGGUAGUUUGACUGGGGCGGUCUCCUCCUAAAGAGUAACGGAGGAGCACGAAGGUUGGCUAAUCCUGGUCGGACAUCAGGAGGUUAGUGCAAUGGCAUAAGCCAGCUUGACUGCGAGCGUGACGGCGCGAGCAGGUGCGAAAGCAGGUCAUAGUGAUCCGGUGGUUCUGAAUGGAAGGGCCAUCGCUCAACGGAUAAAAGGUACUCCGGGGAUAACAGGCUGAUACCGCCCAAGAGUUCAUAUCGACGGCGGUGUUUGGCACCUCGAUGUCGGCUCAUCACAUCCUGGGGCUGAAGUAGGUCCCAAGGGUAUGGCUGUUCGCCAUUUAAAGUGGUACGCGAGCUGGGUUUAGAACGUCGUGAGACAGUUCGGUCCCUAUCUGCCGUGGGCGCUGGAGAACUGAGGGGGGCUGCUCCUAGUACGAGAGGACCGGAGUGGACGCAUCACUGGUGUUCGGGUUGUCAUGCCAAUGGCACUGCCCGGUAGCUAAAUGCGGAAGAGAUAAGUGCUGAAAGCAUCUAAGCACGAAACUUGCCCCGAGAUGAGUUCUCCCUGACUCCUUGAGAGUCCUGAAGGAACGUUGAAGACGACGACGUUGAUAGGCCGGGUGUGUAAGCGCAGCGAUGCGUUGAGCUAACCGGUACUAAUGAACCGUGAGGCUUAACCUU
rnacentral:rRNA from 1 species